UUCGAAGGGGGCUAGCGUUGUUCGGAAUUACUGGGCGUAAAGCGCGCGCAGGCGGUCCUUCAAGUCAGAGGUGAAAGCCCAGAGCUCAACUCUGGAAUGGCCUUUGAGACUAGAGGACUUGGGUACGGGAGAGGUGAGUGGAAUUCCGAGUGUAGAGGUGAAAUUCGUAGAUAUUCGGAAGAACACCAGUGGCGAAGGCGGCUCACUGGCCCGUUACCGACGCUCAGGCGCGACAGCGUGGGGAGCAAACAGG
rnacentral:rRNA from 1 species